UACGAAGAGGGCUAGCGUUGUUCGGAAUCACUGGGCGUAAAGCGCACGUAGGCGGAUUUUUAAGUCAGGGGUGAAAUCCCGAGGCUCAACCUCGGAACUGCCUUUGAUACUGGAGAUCUUGAGUCCGGAAGAGGUAAGUGGAACUGCGAGUGUAGAGGUGAAAUUCGUAGAUAUUCGCAAGAACACCAGUGGCGAAGGCGGCUUACUGGUCCGAACUGACGCUGAGGUGCGGGAAGCGUGGGGAGCAAACAGGG
rnacentral:rRNA from 1 species